AAGAAUCAAGCUGGUGUUGUUGUCAUCUGCACUGAGCACAAACCCAAAAAGAUCUUAGCUAGGUCCAGAGUGGACUUUUAGAAAAAUGUUUGCACUUAGUAUGCAGCCCAACUUCCAGUGCUAAAAACAUCAGAGCUCAACAUUUGACUGUAGAGCAGCACCAUUAGGUUUUUUGCUCAUUCACUCUGCCUGACCUACCUUGAACUACUGCAGUGCCAGUCAGCUCCCCUCAAUGGUUAAAUGGCAGGAAUCACUGGUGCACUCCAACAAAAGGAUCCUGAUACUGCCAACAUUGGAUGAUCAGGGUGUGGGGGGCCCGCGGUAGACACAGCAGGGGAUGAGGCCUGACCGAAGCACUUAAAGGAAGCCUGCUCUCCGGAGGAGUCGUCUGAAGCCCCGUUCUCUUUUUUCUGCUGCUCCUCAUAUGAACGCAUGGAUUGCAGAGCCAGCUGUUUCCUGUGCACAAGUACCCAGGUUAUUAUAGGCGGCGAUCACAGCUCCCGGGUCAGAAACAAUAUCAGCAGCACGAUGAUUUGCACCGAACACCUGAGAUAAUGGAGCUCCUGAUUUUAGGACUGACUCAGCUGACCUAUGCUGGAGGUUACAAUAACAAACCAAUUACAGUGCCAUUGAUUUAGUAGGCCCGUUUUUAUAUCAUAAUCGAUCUUCCACGUCACAUUGCCAAAAACAAUGCGAACACAAUCUAGUUUUAAACAUUCAAAGUUUGGGGAUUAUUUUAUAUUUUAAAACAAUUGGCAAGAAGAUAGUGAGGAAACAACUGCAUUAAACCCUACAAUGUUCCUUGCUCUGUGUCCAACAGUGCUAUGGACUUAUUGUAAGCCUAUUGAGCACUUUCAUCAGAAACUGCGAAGAGCCACACUCCCUGCGGGUUAAUGAGGAAGCUUUGACGCGAGCUUAAUCCUCACAGAUCACUGUCUGCCACCACGUAUAAAUCUGAAGACAUCUGAAGUGUUUUUUCGUCUUUGAAAUGUACUUUUCCUUCUUGUCUUACCUCUUUUCCCGUCGCCCAUUGCCCGUGUCACGGAAUCCUUUGGCAAAUGGAUUGUGAUCAAUCUUCA